GAGUUGAAUCUUCAGCUAGUCCUGAUUAAAGUUUAGACACUAGAAUUGACUCGAGACAAAUAAUUUCUUUCUUUAAUCCAUAUGCACGGACCUCCCGUGGGCUGUUCUAUUCAUUCGUGUAAUUUCAUUAGACGAUGGAAGAAACUACUCUCAACAUCGGAGAAGUAACAAAAUUUGGUUUUGGGAUCUUGAUGUUAAAAUUCAAACUUCUUCACUAGCUUUCAUUUUAUUCAUUUGUUCUUUAUCCAUCAGGAAAUCCAAUGGGUCCACACAGCCCACAUUCUUAACAAAAUGAGAUUGAAUGCGCUCUUUAAAAGCAACAGAAGAGCAACACUCAGAACUUGUGUAGAAACAGAGAAAGAGUUAAGAAGAAAACCAUGGAAUCCCCUCCAAAGAAAGUCAGUAUGUAUGAUGUGGAUGAAGCGGGUUUGUUGCAAAUUCAAGCUGUCGUGAUCUGUUGCUAAUUUAGUUACAGCUCGCAACAGUUACUAAGACGUUGCAAACUUUUGUCGCAAUACAUUGUUAACCCGCAAAAAUGGUGUUGUGAUUAGUACAAUUCUCACAUCUUUUUACGUUUAAUUUCUCUAAAUUUUGUGGUCCCACUGUUAAUGGGGUUACCAAUUAGUUUGAGAUCUACCAGGAUCCUUAUAAAACAAACCAUCCCCAAACAUUGUCUGGAGUGUACCAAUUAUUCAAAAAAAAAAAAAUACUGCCAAAUCUUUAUGCCUAUGACAUUGGACAAAGAUAAGGAUAUCGAUGAUGAUGAUGAUGGUAAUGGAGAUAAAGAUAAGGAUAUCGAAGAUGAAAUUAUUGAAGAGGCAGUGGAAGAAGAAGAAGAAGAAGAAGAAGAAGUAGAAGAAGAAGAAGAUGGAGAUGGAGAAAAAACUCUAGCUAUUGUUCAACAAACCGAAGCUUCAACUUCAACUAAAACCGGAAAGAAGAAGAGGGUUAUCAGUAAACCAGCUAAUUCCCACAUGCCUCCCCCUCACUUGAUGGUUACACUGGAAAAAGGUGAGCUUCCAAGGGGGACCCCAAGAGAUGGUGGAAAUGUUCUUUUUGGAUACAAAGACUCAUGGGCAUGUACAAUCCAUAAUACUAUCGAUCACAAGCAUGCCGCCCGUCUUCCAAGCUUCAUGUUCAGUGACUAAGACUUGGAAUCUUGAUCUAGAAUGUGAGGAGGUGCAAGUGAUUGUCAGGAACUCCGGGUUGUGGCAUGCGGUGGAGAGUUCGAAUAUUGAGCAUGAUAGAUUUACCGUAUCUGCAUUCUGUGAGAGGUUCUACGGAAAUACUGAUACAAUGUUAUUCCCAUUCGGUGAGAUGGCGAUAACUCCCGAUGAUGCUCAUCAAAUUCUAGGCCUCGAGGUUGAUGGAAAAGCAGUCAGUGAGGGAUUCAAUAAUAAUUUUUCUUUCAAGGAUAUUUAAAAAUGGAGCCAGAAAUUGUUCGGUUGGAAUCAAAUUGAGACGAAGUCUAUGCUUGAGAAGAAGGAUGGUCGUCUAAGCAAGAAGUUUAAUCUGAAGAAGUUGAGGGACACGUUAUGGGAGACAAAGAAAAUCUUUGAUAAGGAAGGAAGGGUGAACCUGGUGCGAAUCAAUGCUACCGCGUCAGCUUAUUUUCUAUACGUCCUGGGCAAAUUAUCUUCCCUGACAGUUCCGUAAGCUUGGUCGACGCCAGUUACUUGCAACUAUUGGAUCCCUUAGAUAAGAUGCGUGAGUAUUCUUGGCGUACUAUAGUGGUCGCCUUCUUGAACAAUGACUUGACAAAGGGUUCUAGGGAACUCACUGCGCAAGUUAACGGAAACACAUGUCUCUUCCAGGUUUGGAUAUAUGAGCACUUCCUAUCUUUGUUCAAAACCAACUCCUACGUCACAGUGGAUGCGAAUGUUGUGGUUGAUAAGUCAAGAGCGCAAAGGUACAUUUUUAAGGGUACUCAGGAUAAGGACAUGCCACAAAAUUUUAUCAAACUCCGUAUCGAGAUGCUAGAAAACAAGGUUUAAUCCAAAGGAGAGAUGAAGUUGCAUUAUACUACGGACCCUUGUUGUGCUCACCGGGAUAUUCAAUGUACGAUCCACAUCGGGUAAUGCGACAAUUGGGUCGUCCAAGAAGAACCUCAUUUCGAUGAAGAAAAGAAGUUCUUUACUUUGUUAAAGGAUGACUGCUCCACGUCCUGAAAAACUAUUAACGUCGCUUACGCUCCACUGCCAGCUUUAGAAUAUUGGGACGAUAGAUGUGGCUGUAACAUCGAUGUGAGUCUUUUGGACGAGGUGACCACUGAUAAUGAAUCUAGUGAGAGAUACAUAGCAUGGUACUUGGGUUGGGCUCGUCCUACUAUGAUUAGGGAAAUGACUGCUGAAGAAUUGGCUCGUAAGAGGAAGAUGGCAUCGAAAGACCCAGCAACAAGUCUUAAGUUCUUUAAGGAGCAGUUGAAGACCUUUGUGAAGGUGUUGUGUUGCGCGAAAGACCGAGGAGAGCCUUUGUCGAUUGAAGAGAAAAGCAAGCACGUUGACUAUGCUUGCAAUAUUGAUAAUGAGUAUGCCCAUGAAUUGUUCAAGCAAGCUGAUGCUGAAGUAAAGAGAGAAGAAAAAGCCAAGAGGGAAGCACAAGUAAAGAUGAAUGCUGACAAAAAGAGGGCUCGUAGCGGACGUGGUGGUGAAGGUAGUAGUAGUGGUAGUGUUCCUAAACGGGGACGUGGUCGUGGUCGUGAUCAUGGUGGUGAAUGAAUGAUUUCCUAAUUUAUUUCUUUAUGUUGUGGUGGACAAAUGUUUAAGUUAAUGGUGUGGACAAAUGUUUUUUUAAGGUUUAUGGGACAUGUUUUCUUAUUUUGGACAAAAAGUGUUGGAUUUCUAGUUGUUGAAAUUAAUGGUUUGUUUAGCUAUGUAAAGUUUCAAUGUUUAUACCGGCAUGCUUUUUUUAA